GAUGAACGCUGGCGGCGUGCCUAACACAUGCAAGUCGGACGGAGAUUACGGACGGAAGUUUUCGGAUGGAAGCCUGUAAUUCUUAGUGGCGGACGGGUGAGUAACGCGUGGGCAACCUGCCCUAUACAGGGGGAUAGCAGCUGGAAACGGCUGGUAAGACCGCAUAAGUCGGUUAAAUCGCAUGAUUUGAUCGGGAAAUGAGCAAUCAGGUAUAGGAUGGGCCCGCGUCCGAUUAGCCAGUUGGCAGGGUAAAAGCCUACCAAAGCGACGAUCGGUAGCCGGACUGAGAGGUCGGACGGCCACAUUGGGACUGAGACACGGCCCAAACUCCUACGGGAGGCAGCAGUGGGGGAUAUUGCACAAUGGAGGAAACUCUGAUGCAGCGACGCCGCGUGAGUGAAGAAGUAUUUCGGUAUGUAAAGCUCUAUCAGCAGGGAAGAUGAUGACGGUACCUGACUAAGAAGCCCCGGCUAACUACGUG
rnacentral:rRNA from 1 species